rnacentral:rRNA from 1 species
AGCGAACGCUGGCGGCAGGCUUAACACAUGCAAGUCGAACGCCCGGGCAACCGGGAGUGGCAGACGGGUGAGUAACGCGUGGGAACGUACCCUUUACUACGGAAUAACUCAGGGAAACUUGUGCUAAUACCGUAUGUGCCCUUCGGGGGAAAGAUUUAUCGGUAAAGGAUCGGCCCGCGUUGGAUUAGCUAGUUGGUGGGUAAAGGCCUACCAAGGCGACGAUCCAUAGCUGGUCUGAGAGGAUGAUCAGCCACAUUGGGACUGAGACACGGCCCAAACUCCUACGGGAGGCAGCAGUGGGGAAUAUUGGACAAUGGGCGCAAGCCUGAUCCAGCCAUGCCGCGUGAGUGAUGAAGGCCCUAGGGUUGUAAAGCUCUUUCACCGGUGAAGAUAAUGACGGUAACCGGAGAAGAAGCCCCGGCUAACUUCGUGCCAGCAGCCGCGGUAAAAC